rnacentral:miRNA from 14 species
AAGACUGUUAAGAGACUGCUCGGAGAUAAGCACGAUGGUGCACAUGCCUGUAAUCUCAGCACUUAGGAGUCUAAGGCAGGAGGAUACAGAG